GGUUAUGGAGCUAUCUGAAAGUGUUGACUGUUGACCUUCAGAACACCAUUCAGAUACAUCCACAGCGGUCAUUUGUGUAGCAUGUCUGGAAGUUGUUACUGUGAACGCUUACUGUAAAGAUAAAUCUGUUCAGCAAGUUGUUAAAUACUUUUUCUCUCCAUAAAGUUGUGUUGGUAACGCAGUUGUUUUAUGUUAAAGUUACAUACUAAUUUUGGCGUUGUUUAGGUGCGGAAAAUCUGAAGUCUGGGAAUAUGUUCCCCAUGUAUAUACAUACAAAUUCCGUUAACCUAUACGUUACAGUUUGUGGGAGAUAAGUGAGCAGAAUUUGUGAAGUAUUUGAUGAAGGAAGAGUCAAGUUUAUAGUGAAAUUACUAAAUCAAGUUUGUUUUUUAAACUGUACAAGAACUAGUAAUACUUUACUGAAGUAAAAUCAACUUAAAUACAAAAUGUGAUACUACAAGCUCGCAGUCUUGGACAGUAAAUUACCCGAAGACUAAGUGAACAAGAUGAAAAGUAGAAGAAUUCACCAAGCAGCGUAAGGUUUACACUUUUAUUUCACAUAAAAUGGAAUCUGUACAUCGGUUCUUCAAACACGACCGUGUUUACAGAUAUUAAAAACACAAAACAUUUGAAUAUACAAAAGAAAGAUGGGAAGAAAGUGUAACAAUGAUUUGUUUUAAAACAUGGCGAAAAUGUAAGAGUAACACUUCAAUUUAUUCAACCUACCUAACCACGAAACCUUCAACAGCUUACAUACAAAAUGUGUCAAACAACUGUAUUUAUAGAUAGAUAUUAAUAACAUCUCUCUAAUUUGGUUUCCAAUAGAUUGCACCAUUCAUAGAUAGUCGAGCAUUUUUUGUAUAAAAAUAAAUGAAUUAUCAACUAAUAA